AACGCCCUGCUGUGCUCGUGAUGCGAUACAAGCGUUUUGAGCCAACACCCUGAAAAAGGGGAUCAAUCUCCGGAGAGGAUGCGGCGACGCAGAAUCGAAGGGUAGAUCCCCACUUGCGAAAGCAAGUUCAAAACCUGGUAGCACACGGCACAGCGGGGAACAU
rnacentral:other from 1 species